CCACAAAGCCCAUACCAGCACAAACUCGCGCACUGAGAGAAGCACGAACGCGCAACUGGCUCUCCUUCGCUCCCUCCGUCUGCCAGUUCCUUCAUCUCGCCAUCGGGAUCUGCGCACGUGCGUAUUUUGCGAGCAGAUCUCUCCUCCGCAUCGCCAUCAUGGAGCGCACCUUUGCCCAGCAGGAUGACUUGCGCACGCAGGAUCAGCUGCUCGAUCAGCUGCACGCCUCUGUGAUGAACACGCGACACUACGCGAUUCAGAUCGGCAACGACCUCGGCGAACAGGACGACAUGCUGGACCGUCUGCAUGGCAAUGUGACCCGCACAGCAGACGAGAGUCGGCGGCAGAACCAGAACGUCAUCCAACUGCUCAGGGAGAGCGAGAAUCGCGGGUUCUACUCCGUUGUGCUGCUCCUAGUCGUCAUCAUCAUACUACUGCUGGCCAUUUGAAAGGAGAGGACGAGAAGAAGAGGGGGCAGCGAAGCAGCAGGCAUCGCAUCCUCCGCACACAGGCACACACACACACUCACAAUUGCGCGUAAGAAGACGGUGUGCGCUCACCUCAAGGCGCAUCACGGGGGGUGGGUGGGCGGGCGAGAGUACGUCGGCGUAUGUGUUUCUGCUUCGCUGCACCUUCUCUGACCGCCCCUUACAUCCGCAUCCUGAUCUUCUCCUCACCCUUUCCCUCUGCUUAUUGGACCACACGCACCUUGCUCUGCCACGGCGCUCUCUCUUCCAUCUCUAUGAAGGGCGUCUUCUUGUGGCUGUGUAGGUGUCCGUGUGCCUGUGUGUCCGUGAGUGUGUGCGUGUGUGUGGUAUGGUUGCCAAACUCUCUUUCUUUCUCUGGUGCUCUCCCUGUCUCUGCGUCGUUGUUUUGGCCCUCCCCUCCUCUGAGUGGGGGAGCCGAUCGUACAC
rnacentral:misc_RNA from 1 species